AUGUCCGGUCUCCGAAGGUGGCUGUUAUCCUCCAAGGGCCCCUGUGCGAGUUUCAAGCUCGAGCUCAUGUUAUGGGCUGGACGAGGUGGAUACCAGGAUGUCAGAUGUGAUGCUUCACAGAUUUUCAAGGUAUUCCCUUCUCUGGUGUCUCACCAAUGUCAGGUGAGCUCUGAAAACCCAAAUCCGCUGCAUUUCAACACUGUUUCAUAUCACCUCACCUAUCGUCUGUUUGUGGGAGCUCUGAGUCGGGCCACUCCAUCAACACAGGAGCACGUCUGCUGCCUCCAAGCAGCUCUGCUGUCCCUGGACCUUAACCCUGUUGGUCCAGAGCACUCGGGUCAGCAGUAUUCCUCUGGACCUGAAGGCAUUCACUUCACACCAUGAGGCCAGGAACAGCAGCAUAACCCUC
ensembl:lncRNA